CCUACGGGUGGCUGCAGUGGGGAAUAUUGGGCAAUGGACGCAAGUCUGACCCAGCAACGCCGCGUGAAGGAAGAAGGCUUUCGGGUUGUAAACUUCUUUUAAGGGGGAAGAGCAGAAGACGGUACCCCUUGAAUAAGCCACGGCUAACUACGUGCCAGCAGCCGCGGUAAUACGUAGGUGGCAAGCGUUGUCCGGAUUUACUGGGUGUAAAGGGCGUGCAGCCGGGAAGACAAGUCAGAUGUGAAAUCCCGCGGCUCAACCGCGGAACUGCAUUUGAAACUGUUUUUCUUGAGUAUCGGAGAGGUAAUCGGAAUUCCUAGUGUAGCGGUGAAAUGCGUAGAUAUUAGGAAGAACACCAGUGGCGAAGGCGGAUUACUGGACGACAACUGACGGUGAGGCGCGAAAGCGUGGGGAGCAAACAGGAUUAGAUACCCGGGUAGUC
rnacentral:rRNA from 1 species